rnacentral:rRNA from 1 species
UACGUAGGGUGCAAGCGUUAAUCGGAAUUACUGGGCGUAAAGCGUGCGCAGGCGGUCCGUUAAGACAGAUGUGAAAGCCCCGGGCUUAACCUGGGAAUGGCAUGGGAAACUGGCGGGCUGGAGUGUGGCAGAGGGGGGUGGAAUUCCGCGUGUAGCAGUGAAAUGCGUAGAGAUGCGGAGGAACACCGAUGGCGAAGGCAGCCCCCUGGGCUAACACUGACGCUCAGGCACGAAAGCGUGGGGAGCAAACAGG